AAAUUGUCACUUGUAUGUUUUUUUAAUAACAAAGGAGGUUUACAGAGGAGGCCUUAUUCGAUUCAACACAGAGGUACUAAUAAUA